rnacentral:misc_RNA from 1 species
UUGAAUAUUAGCACAUGUAACUUAAUGAAAGUGAGAGAAUGGUGAAAGUUUAUUGGUGGAAGGACGAGCAAUAUAUGGAGGUCUUUUCCCAUAAGUGAGAACUGCUAGUAAGCACUUUAGUUUGAGAAAUAUUGUGUUCAGUGCUGGAAUAAGCAUAUAGUUCAAGAAAAAAAAAAUACUCUUGCAACAACAACAACAAUAAUAAUAGAAGAGGUACUCUGAUUUUGGUUAUGCCAUUUGACGUGAUGAGGGCAAUUAAUGUGAUCAGAAAGGUGAAAUCAAGCAAAAUAGUGGUGAAAAUUUUUGAUUUUGGACUAUAUUUUCCAUUAGGUGUACAAGGCAUGGACUUUUCUUUUUUUUUAAUAAUUUCAUCAAAAUUUAUAGAGCGUCUUAUGUCCUAUGUGAAUAAAUAGUGUAAUCAAUUCUAUCACUUGCGCAAGCAUUGAAUUGAUGAGCAUGUGCACAUUAGAUUAUGGUGAUAUUUGCGCAUUAAAACACCAUACAAAUGUUUAAUGCAGACCCAUUUGGCUUUGUGAACAGGCAGAAAGUGCCAUUAUUGCUCU